ensembl:antisense 1700007P06Rik RIKEN cDNA 1700007P06 gene
AUGGCCAGUGUGAGCGGAGAGAUGAAGUUGGACCCAGGAAGCACUGCUCAAGCAGCAGUGAAGAAAGCCUCUGAGGCUUCUUAGGAGACUGAGCCUGGCUGAGGAAAGGAUCUCUGAUUUGUCAAGAUAAAUUUCAAAACAAGACAAAAAAGCAAAACUGGAGCAGAAUGUCCAAGAGGUACGGUAGCAAGCAUGGUUCAAGAACCUGUGCUGAACCAUGGCUGAAAGAACCAUGAUGCUCAGCAUGAAUGAAGGAAGGCAGAAAGGAAGAGGACAAGGGAGGCAGAAGGAAGGGAUUGAUGAAUGAGACAGGGGGAGGAAGGGAAGAAGAGAACGAAGAAAGAAGAGAAAGAAACUAGAACAAAAUAUUUAAGGAUUGAGGGAAAAGAAGCACUGACUUGCACCGCCGCCUCCCACAAGUGUGAAGGGGAAACGAGCAUCUUGGAAUAAAGAGCCGUGGAUCUGCUGUGUGGUUCCCCAGCGCCAGGGAAGCACUGCCAGGGAACAGUGAGGAUGCUGGGAUGCUCCAACGCCUCCCUCAGCCCUGAAGCAGGCUGAUCCAGAUUUUGACCUUGCUGCCACUGAGAAGGAAAUUACCUAAGGUGGAGCCUUCUGACCUAGAUGGCUCUUUUGUUCUGUCACCUGCCACUGCUCUCUCCAAGACACUACACUGCCUGCUGAGAAGCCCCUGAGACAUUCCUGAGGAACAUCCUAUUCUGCACAUUGCCUACAGGCUGGCUCCAGACACCAAGAAUGGACUGGCGGGGGAUGGGCCUUCCCCUUUUAUAAGUAGACUCUGUUAGUAAACUGGAGGGCCUUGAGC